rnacentral:rRNA from 1 species
CUCUGUGGGAUCAGUGGCGAACGGGUGAGUAACACGUGAGCAACCUGCCCCUGACUCUGGGAUAAGCGCUGGAAACGGCGUCUAAUACUGGAUACGAGUAGCGACCGCAUGGUCAGUUACUGGAAAGAAUUUCGGUUGGGGAUGGGCUCGCGGCCUAUCAGCUUGUUGGUGAGGUAAUGGCUCACCAAGGCGUCGACGGGUAGCCGGCCUGAGAGGGUGACCGGCCACACUGGGACUGAGACACGGCCCAGACUCCUACGGGAGGCAGCAGUGGGGAAUAUUGCACAAUGGGCGCAAGCCUGAUGCAGCAACGCCGCGUGAGGGAUGACGGCCUUCGGGUUGUAAACCUCUUUUAGCAGGGAAGAAGCGAAAGUGACGGUACCUGCAGAAAAAGCGCCGGCUAACUACGUGCCAGCAGCCGCGGUAAUACGUAGGGCGCAAGCGUUAUCCGGAAUUAUUGGGCGUAAAGAGCUCGUAGGCGGUUUGUCGCGUCUGCUGUGAAAUCCCGAGGCUCAACCUCGGGCCUGCAGUGGGUACGGGCAGACUAGAGUGCGGUAGGGGAGAUUGGAAUUCCUGGUGUAGCGGUGGAAUGCGCAGAUAUCAGGAGGAACACCGAUGGCGAAGGCAGAUCUCUGGGCCGUAACUGACGCUGAGGAGCGAAAGGGUGGGGAGCAAACAGGCUUAGAUACCCUGGUAGUCCACCCCGUAAACGUUGGGAACUAGUUGUGGGGUCCAUUCCACGGAUUCCGUGACGCAGCUAACGCAUUAAGUUCCCCGCCUGGGGAGUACGGCCGCAAGGCUAAAACUCAAAGGAAUUGACGGGGACCCGCACAAGCGGCGGAGCAUGCGGAUUAAUUCGAUGCAACGCGAGAACCCUUACCAAGGGCUUGACAUAUACGASAACGGGCCAGAAAUGGUCAACUCUUUGGACACUCGUAAACAGGUGGGUGCAUGCUGUCGUCAGCUUCGUGUCGUGAGAUGGUUGGGUAAGUUCCGCAAACGAGCGCAUCCCUUCGAUCUAUGGUGCCAGUCACGUAAUGGGUGGGUACUCA